GUGCCGGUUAGCUCAGUCAGUUGAGCAUAGCGAUAACAACGCUAAAGUCGCGGGUUCAAUUCCUGUUCGGUCCC
rnacentral:tRNA from 1 species